UACGUAGGGGGCAAGCGUUGUCCGGAAUCAUUGGGCGUAAAGAGCGCGUAGGCGGUCCGAUAAGUCGGUUGUGAAAACUGGGGGCUCAACCCUCAGAGGCCGGUGGAUACUGUCGGGCUUGAGUACGGAAGAGGCGAGUGGAAUUCCUGGUGUAGCGGUGAAAUGCGCAGAUAUCAGGAGGAACACCAAUUGCGAAGGCAGCUCGCUGGACGUUACUGACGCUGAGACGCGAAAGCGUGGGAGCAAACAGG
rnacentral:rRNA from 1 species